UGGGGAAUAUUGGACAAUGGGCGCAAGCCUGAUCCAGCCAUGCCGCGUGGGUGAUGAAGGCCCUAGGGUUGUAAAGCCCUUUCGGCGGGGAAGAUAAUGACGGUACCCGCAGAAGAAGCCCCGGCUAACUUCGUGCCAGCAGCCGCGGUAAUACGAAGGGGGCUAGCGUUGCUCGGAAUCACUGGGCGUAAAGCGCACGUAGGCGGAUUGCUAAGUCAGGGGUGAAAUCCUGGAGCUCAACUCCAGAACUGCCCUUGAUACUGGCGAUCUCGAGUCCGGGAGAGGUGAGUGGAACUGCGAGUGUAGAGGUGAAAUUCGUAGAUAUUCGCAAGAACACCAGUGGCGAAGGCGGCUCACUGGCCCGGUACUGACGCUGAGGUGCGAAAGCGUGGGGAGCAAACAGG
rnacentral:rRNA from 1 species